rfam:Enterococcus faecium DO, complete genome.
AGAGUGUUAUGAUGUUGGAAGAUAUUUUUCCGAGUCUAGCUCAGCGCUGCUCCUCAAGCGAAUAUCGCUUGGGG